CUCUCUAUUUCUACUCUCUCCUUCCAUCUCUUUCCCUCUCUCUCUUUCCCUCUCUCCUCUCCUUCUCAGGAUGGACACAGGAUGUGAAGAGAGCAGGUGGCUGACAGACUCACAGCAACACCCUGUGGCGUGCCCAAGCCUGUGGCUAUUCCCAUUUCUCCUGGUAUUCCCAGUCCUCCUCCUGGCUUGGCUGGGCUCCUCUCCAGCUUCCUGUAGUGGAGUGUUUGGCAUCACGCCGUGCCCAGGAACACACACUGCAGCCAUGCCUGUGGGCAUGAAGUGUGCGUGUGGGAGAGAGAGAGGGCGUGUCAGAGGGGGUGGAGUAAAGGUAAUGUCUCUCUCAAACACACACACACACACACUACUUAGCAGUGCCACACUUUCUCACAUGGUUGUGGGCUUCCUUUUCUUUAUUCGUUUUUGUUGACCGCUGAGAAAGACAUACCCUCUGUGUUUGGUAGAGCAGGAGUCAGAGGAGAGGACAGGAGAGGGGCCAGACUCACCCAGGUGGACAGAGGAAAUGGGAGGCUGUGGAGGAUAUGACAARCAGCCCUCAUUCAGUCAGCAAACUAACUGGACAGCUCUACUGUACGCCACAGGGGACAGACCCUUGGCAGGCAGAGAGGUCACUGAGCUCUGAGAACAACAGUUAGUUGGGUGGCAGAUCUUCACAGCUCUACUGUUAAGAGGUAGUGUCCAAAGUGUGGAGGAGGAUGUCACACGUCAGCUGUCCUCAUAGCUGGGCUUCCAUGGCAACGACAUUCAUCAGAAUGACUUCCUGCAAAAGCAAAGCACUGUCACGAUCACUUUCUGUACUGACAGAUCACUUUAUACGGAUAAUUAUUGUGUUUGUGUAAGGUUAAGCAUUGAAAUGCUAAGCCAAAUGAGUGGACUGUCUUUGUAAAUCUACUUGUCAUCCAUGUCACAACUGCUGAACAGAGUUUCUAAAUAAGCAGUAUCCUCCAAAAUCUUUGCUGCUGCCGCGCAACCACUGCAUCCCUAUUGUCCGGCAGGGAAAGUCUUCCCCCAGAGGCUGGUUUCACAUGGUGGUUUAGAUUGAUGUUCCCAGUGUCUAGCACCAUUUGAAAUCAGUGUUCUUGGGGACAGGAGAACAGCACUGGGCCUCUGAUAGUGUCAGUCAGUCUACUGGAGCCAUCCUCUCUCUCUCCCCUUUAAAGGAUGACUGAUUUCCUCUGGUGUUUAGAGCCCCUUAAAGCCUUCUAGCACCAUUUGAAAUCGGUUAUAAUGACUGGGGAUCAAUGCCUCAAUGUCUUCACGAUGUCUACAUGUCAACUCUACAGUCAAGCAGACAGGAAAUUAAUUGGAUGAAUGUUCAUAUUAUACAGGGUCUGCUCUACAGAUCCUGGAAUCUAAAUGAGUUGGACAGGAGCUCAUUUCCAGUGGGACAGUUUUAAAGUUUUUAUUUAAUAAAUGUUCAAUAAAACUGAAUUGAUAUUGCA